ACUAAUACAAUACAAAGCUAACUCUUAAAAUUCUCCCUAAACAAAACUCACUUAGUAGUUAAUAAUGAAGUAAAUUCAAUAAAUAUAUUUCAUUUAUUAUAUAAGUGUCUUUUGAAUUCUAUAGCCAUGCUUCAUCUAUAUUUAAAGAACAUUCUUAUGCUAUUAGCAUAUUGCAAAAAGAAACAAAAUAUCAAUACUUCAUAUAAAAUCACUAUUAUUGUUUGUAGUUUUAUUUCUUUGUUUUUAAAAUAUUCUUUAAUAAUUUUUUUUUGUUGGAGCUACAUUUCAGUUUGGAAGAUUUUUUACUUCUCUCUAUUUAGAGAAACACAACCAAUUGUUGAUCGUUGAUAGAUAUAAUGAUGAUCACAAUUAUUUCUACAAUUUUUUUCUAUAUAUAUUUGUUAAGUUUGUAGAUGAAAGUUGCUAUGAGUUCCUCCAAGAAAAUUAAUAUGGUAAUUUUGGUUAAAUUAAAGUAAAUCUCAUCUCUCAUGUAUUUGUUUCUUCAAAUUUUAAUCUCUUUUUCUUCUUCUU